GUGACAUUCUGGGUAAAGUUACAUAUAUAUAUAUAUGUGUGUGUGUGUGUGUGUGUGUGUGUGUUUAUAUAUAUAUAAACACACACACACGCACACACACACACACACACACAC
rnacentral:miRNA from 1 species